CCUACGGGUGGCAGCAGUGAGGCAUAUUGGUCAAUGGGCGGAAGCCUGAACCAGCCAAGUAGCGUGCAGGCUGACGGCCCUACGGGUUGUACACUGCUUUUAUACGGGAAUAACGCGCCUUACGUGUAGGGCUUUGCAUGUACCGUAUGAAUAAGGACCGGCUAAUUCCGUGCCCGCAGCCGCGGUAAUCCGGAAGGUCCGGGCGUUCUCCGGGUUUAUUGGGUUUAAAGGGAGCGUAGUCCGCAUGUGAAGCGUGCUGUGACAUGUCCGGGCCCAACCCGGGCCUUGCAGCGCGAACUGGCGUGCGUGAGUCCGCGGAAAGCAGGCGGAAUGCGUCGUGUAGCGGGGAAAUGCUUAGAUAUGACGAAGAACCCCGAUUGCGAAGGCAGCUUGCUGCAGCGGAACUGACGCUGAGGCUCGAAAGCGCGGGUAUCGAACAGGAGUAGAUACCCCUGUAGUC
rnacentral:rRNA from 1 species